rnacentral:rRNA from 1 species
AGAAAGCCACGGCUAACUACGUGCCAGCAGCCGCGGUAAUACGUAGGUGGCAAGCGUUAUCCGGAAUUAUUGGGCGUAAAGCGCGCGCAGGCGGUCCUUUAAGUCUGAUGUGAAAGCCCACGGCUCAACCGUGGAGGGUCAUUGGAAACUGGAAAACUUGAGUGCAGAAGAGGAAAGUGGAAUUCCAAGUGUAGCGGUGAAAUGCGUAGAGAUUUGGAGGAACACCAGUGGCGAAGGCGACUUUCUGGUCUGUAACUGACGCUGAGGCGCGAAAGCGUGGGGAGCAAACAGGAUUAGAUACCCUGGUAGUCCACGCCGUAAACGAUGAGUGCUAAGUGUUAGGGGGUUUCCGCCCCUUAGUGCUGCAGCUAACGCAUUAAGCACUCCGCCUGGGGAGUACG